UUAAAGAAAGCGUAAUAGCUCACUGGUCGAGUCGGCCUGCGCGGAAGAUGUAACGGGGCUAAACCAUGCACCGAAGCUGCGGCAGCGACACUCAGGUGUUGUUGGGUAGGGGAGCGUUCUGUAAGCCUGCGAAGGUGGCCUGUGAGGGUUGCUGGAGGUAUCAGAAGUGCGAAUGCUGACAUAAGUAACGAUAAAGCGGGUGAAAAGCCCGCUCGCCGGAAGACCAAGGGUUCCUGUCCAACGUUAAUCGGGGCAGGGUGAGUCGACCCCUAAGGCGAGGCCGAAAGGCGUAGUCGAUGGGAAACGGGUUAAUAUUCCCGUACUUGGUGUUACUGCGAAGGGGGGACGGAGAAGGCUAUGUUGGCCGGGCGACGGUUGUCCCGGUUUAAGCGUGUAGGCUGGUUUUCCAGGCAAAUCCGGAAAAUCAAGGCUGAGGCGUGACGACGAGGCACUACGGUGCUGAAGCAACAAAUGCCCUGCUUCCAGGAAAAGCCUCUAAGCAUCAGGUAACAUCAAAUCGUACCCCAAACCGACACAGGUG
rnacentral:rRNA from 1 species